rnacentral:rRNA from 1 species
UACGUAGGGGGCAAGCGUUGUCCGGAAUUAUUGGGCGUAAAGCGCGCGCAGGCGGUCCAUUAAGUCUGGUGUAUAAACCAAGGGCUCAACCUUUGGACGCAUUGGAAACUGAUGGACUGGAGUGUAGGAGAGGAAAGUGGAAUUCCACGUGUAGCGGUGAAAUGCGCAGAUAUCAGGAGGAACACCGGUGGCGAAGGCGGGACUCUGGGCCGAUACUGACGCUGAGGAGCGAAAGCGUGGGGAGCAAACAGG